rnacentral:lncRNA from 1 species
GAAAACCCUAGGUACAAAACCCUAGGUGAAACCGCCGAAAUCCUUACUGGAAGUAUAGUUAGGGAUGUCGGAAAGUCACCCAAAACAUCCACUUAGUGAGAAUCGAGCCACCGGAUAGCAAUAAAACCCUAGGUUAAACCACCAGAAACCCUAGAAGCCGAUAGGUUACCCAAAAAUUACCCAAAAAUCAUUAGAAAAUCUCCCAGAACGUUCGAGUGAAGAAAAUACACUCAGAUAUCACGAUAAAAAACUCAGAAAGGCGUCCGAUUUAGAUCGGAAUCGUCAUCGACCACAAGGUCUCAGAAACACCCCCAAAAAUCUCAAAAGAGACUUCAACCAAGACAACGAGAUACAGAAAAACAUAGUCGGGUCGUCGUCGAGGCUCUGAUACCAUGUAAACAUUGAGACUAAACCGAAAAAUCAUGGAGAAUGUAGAGAGAGAAUCUAGAGAGAAGCAGGAGCGUCUGAGAGAAGUCUCUGCAAGCCAGAGAAUAUUAUUAAACAGAAAAGAAGAUGAAAU